ensembl:lncRNA
AUGAUGCAGGAAAUUAAAGUAAGAGUGGGAAGAAAAGGGGAAUACAAAGGAAACCCACUGUGUGCCGGUCAGAGCUUCAUUGUCAGAAGCAAGAAGUGGCAAGUAGAUGGAGACAGAAGAGAUGGUGGUGUUAGGGAACAGGAUGGGUAUUUGAAAAGAUGUACCUAUACAAGAAGGAUUUCUUAAAAGUAUUAAUAUUUUCUGAAGGGGUGAAUAAGGGGAGAGAAUGCAUUUCUAGCAUUUCUAUAUGUGGCCUUAAAGCUCAAGCUCAAAGUGAUAAUCUUUACCUUGAGAUGUUACAGAGAAUUUAAAAUAGGUCCACAACACAAAAAUUUAUACAAAUCCACCACAGGAGUUAAUAAACUACUUGAUAAAUCCUGCCAAAGAUUUUUAAUGUGCACUCAAUAGCAGCAAUCAACCUUCUUCCUGUUACUGCAGGAUAACAGCUGUAUAAGGACAGUGCAAAGGGCACAGCUGAAUGAACAUGUUCGUGCAUGAACACCUUAAGUUUCUGCACAUCCCAAGGAAGCUAACUUGAGCAGCCUCUCAGAAGCUCAGAACAAUUUAAUGUAAGAAUUUGCAUUUUAAAGGGAAAAAAGAGUGCCUCGAGCUAUUCAUCUGUAGCUACAAAAGUGAAGAAUCUUCAAUAUUACACAUGAUAGAGGCAAAAUUGCAUAAUUUAAAGAAUUAAAAUAUUAUGUCCUAAACAUAGAACUCUCUCAACCUCUUGAAAGAACACACCAUGAUAUGUAAAUGCUUUGUAUGUGAAAGCCCCACACUGUCAAUGCAGUAAAACUGAACAAGUGUCUUUGAACAUUUAUGUUAGACUACCACCAUUUACUAUUAUUACUGGUUGCUCUUUUCAUGGAGAAGCUACUACAAUUGAAAGGAAAGCAUCUAUUGUUCUAAUCUUGCAUACUGUGACUAACCAGGAAAUUUGUGUGUUUUUGCACUAAAUCAGAGAAUGAGAUUUAUGUUCUUAAGUUCUCCUUUGAAAUUAAAGGUGCGUUUAGAUUCUUUCAUUACAGAGUUAAGCUGAAAGAUAAGUUUUUAAUAUCAUUCAGAGGCUAUAUGGUUCAUGGAUUCUACAUUGGAUGAAAGUGUUCCUUGCAAAAUUCAAAUACUUUAUUGCAUGCUUUCUGUGAUUUACUGCUAAUACUUAGCAUCAAUGUUACUAGUAGACAUGAAAUGGCUUAAAAUAUUAAUGGGUUUAGUGUCCUUUCACUUUUCCAAAACUGCCGUAAUUUUAGUCACUUUACAGAAGAAAGUGAUUUUAUGAUGCAGGUAAAAGAUUUAAUCCUUCUCGUGUAGGAGACUAAUAUGAAUCCUCUUUCUUUGCUCCUAAGCCUAGGUUGCUCUUUUCAGAAUAUUUUUGUUGCAUACUUCACUAGAUAAAACCUACUCCUCAUGGAUCGGACAGUAGAGGGCAGCAGCACAUCCCCAAAUUUAACAUUAAAGUGUUAGCAUAAUUCACUACCACAUGUAAGAACGCUUUAUGAUUCAGCUCCAACAAGUACUUUCCCAAAUAUGCUUUUCAAAGCUAUGACCUAUUAUACAGGACAGUAUAGAUGCUGAAACCACUGAAGAAUUCUGUAGUGCUCUCAUCAAGUAAUGUUUAUUGUUGGAGCCUGCUGAAGUACUGCUGCAGGAGGAAGGAAUGAUGCACAUAAAUGAUGAUUCUGCAAGGGACUUUUAGUUUUGGUAUUAAUAUUUUAAUUCGGACUACGAGAGAAGGGGAUAUUUUUUUUCCCCAAAGUUAUAAAGCUUAAUUCUUCCCUGAUCCUUCCAUCUUCUAUACUUAAAAUAGUUUAACAUAUUUGCCUUCUUGUCCUUUAGCUCUGAUAAAUAGAAGUUAAACUAAACCAAUUGCCUUGAUGAGACUUCCCCUUUGUUUUACUAUCCUUCAUUCAAAAUUUAAAAGGGCACAAAGAGAUGUUGUUUCUCUUUAGGUACAUAAAAAUUAAUAAGCUUAAAUAGAUAUAGAAAAGUUACACAAGGGAUGCACAGUUUCAUUCACUCAUCCCAAAGCUCUUAUCACAGGCCGAUACAAAAGCAAACAGGAGUGUCUGUUAGCAGCCUUAAGAAGGUGCAUUCACUCAACAAUAGGAAAACCAUGAGAGUUCCUACAAAGCAAUAGAAGUACAAGGGGUGGGGGGAGGGCAGGGAGAGCAGCAGCUUGAACAGCUGUUCAAAUGUCACUACGUGAAGGCUCUUAUUACUGUAAGAAAAGCAGUCCAUUUUGCAGCAAAUCGGUGACUUGGCUUGACCUAAAAUCAUUCCCAUAUUGAACACUACUAUGCCAUAAAGCUGUCAUACUUGUAAAAAGCAACACAAUUCAAGAACAGAAGUUGCAGAUAUUGCCCUAUCUUUUGAAGAGCAAAUCUGAAUUAUUCUUACAGCUUUCAUUUUCCCAGAAAUCCCAGAAAGACUAACAUUCAAUGCCUAGAUAGGUACCUGGGGGCAGGGGAAUGGGGAGCACCAACAACCUAACAAAACAGACUUCAACAUUAAAACCUCCUUCUAAUCCGGUGCAGCUCAAAUGUUUUGUUUUGCAUUCAUUCCUCCAACCAAUGUCAGAACGCUACAGUUUCUUGUUUGGGAACACUAGAAAGAGCUUUACCAACUUAAUAACUUUUCUUCUCUACAACUGAUUACAACUGAUUAUCCUCCUAAUUUAAUCUGCUUCUUCCUUCAAAUAAAAGAGAAAAUGUUUAAACAGUCUACCACUCACAAUAGAAUAACAAUGUAUGUAUUCUGUUCCAGGGCUCAAAAAAGCAAGGAGAGACAAAAUUAUCUAGUUUUCUCUAACCUUAUUUCUAACCAACUUCAGAUCAGAGAGGUGAGCCUUUCUUUGUUACUCUAACUCUUCCCUCCACAGAUAUAUUUAUUAAAAGGGAAUUGCUGUAGAGCUCGCUCUAUGACAACAAUUGUGUAGUUAUGCCUUCACCUUUUCAGUCUGUAAAACAAGCAG